GGUCACCCCAUUUGGAUGGGGAAUACUUGGCAACCUGCCAACAGCAGAAGGCACUUUCUUCAAUAAAAGCACUGGAUGUCCAAGCUGGAGUUCAACAGGCCUACAAGGGAAAUCCUACAAUGGCCAUUGCUAUUUCGCACUCAGUCAGAGAAAUCCUGUCGGUUCAAUAACAGAGGAAUAUGCAGGUCGCACCUGUAGUGUAUAUGGGGGUACACUCCUGUACUGGACGGACAGAGAGGAACUUCUGUUCUUUCUAUUUGAGGCGAAUUCUUUCAGUAACGGAGAUGGUAUCUGGACAGGGUUGCAGCGAACCGUGGAAUCCUGGUCUUGGUUGGGCUCCGAGACGACUCUAUCGGACAGUGUCUUGCAAGA